rnacentral:lncRNA from 1 species
GCAGUUCCCUCCUCAGAACAGUUUUGAAGGUUCUGGGUGCAGAGGAAGCUGAAGAUUCUCCAGCAACAGGGUGGCAGGCCUUGGAUCUGAGUAUGUCCCCUGGGUCCCAGAGGUCUGGUGUCUACUAUGAGGAGUCCAUGCCUGCAUAAGUAUUAAUACUUGUUUUGCACCAGAGCGUGGAGACUGCAUUGUAUCAAAGGGCUUUUGGGAGACCAGAAGGAUGGAAAAGGAAAAUCUGGAUAUUUUAGCUCUGCUGAUUGGCUGCCCUGGCAACAGACCAAAUGACUCCAAAAAUAACUCUCCAGCUCUGACCCGUCUCCUGAACUUCAGAUGCAUCUGUCCGUGUGCCUACUUAACAGCUCCACUUUGAUGACGAACCAACAUUAUAUUUAACAUGUUUAAAAUGGAACUGUUAAUUCAGUUCCAUUCCACCACCAAACCCAUCCCUCCACCUGUCUUCCUCAUCUCAUCCAUUGCUCAACCUUGUCAUGAAGUCAUCUCCAAUCCUCCCUCUCCAUUGCCUUUCACAUUCAGUCCCCAAGCAAGUCCUGUCACUUCCAAUUUUAGGCUCACCUCCCGUUAGUCAAUUUCUCUCCAUCUCUGCUGGCACCACCUAGCUUAGAUUACCCAUUGACUCUGGGUUUACUGCAAUAACCUCACAUCUGAAUUUUCUGAUUAUUUGCUUUCCCCUUGUCUACUUGCUCCACGGAAGUCAUUGUGAUUUCUUAAAAUGUAAAUCUUGUAUUUGCUUGGUGUAAUUUGCAAUCUGGGCAGUGAGACAUCUGAGAGUCUCUACCUCUGCAAUGUCGUCCCAUUGUUUAAAUAAAUCCCAAAGUCUCCACUGUGACCAGUAUCCCUGUGUAAUCUGUCUCCUGCCCAUACCUCCAGCAUUGUCCCAUGUCCCAUUGCUCACACUCUCCAGCCCCACUGGUUCCCUACCAUUUCCUGAACCUUCCAUGCUCCUUCAUACCUUAAAGUUUGGCAUAAUAGGUUCCCUCCAACAAGAAGGUAUUUCCCAGGCUCUUUGAAACUUCCAGAUGUCAGCCCAAAUGUUCCUGUUUCAGAAAGGCUACUAGCUUACCAUUCUGUCUAGCUAGCAGCACUUCAUUAUUAACUCUGUGAAGAUCUCUAUCCUAGCAAUCCCCAUUAUUUGUGCACUGUUUUUAUUUUCUUCAGAGCACUCAUCACAUUUGAAAUUCUUUCUUCCUUCCUCCCUCCCUCCCUCCCCUGUAUCACUCCCACCUUUCUUUCCUUUCUAUCUGUCCUCAUCAGACUGUACCCUCACCACAAGGGUGAGGACCACUUUUACCAAUGCUUACUAAUGUUUGCUCAGUGCCCACACAGUGCUUGAAAUAUAGUGUGCGCUCAGGAAUAUGUGUGGAAUAAACAAAGGCAUAGCCUUCUUUGAAAUGAACAAAUGUUCAUCUGGAAACUCUGGACUGGGCUUCCUUAGGAUAUGGGUGGUUUCCUUAAAAGGAUAGGCAAUCUUUAUGUUCAAGUUGUGACUUUUCUGGCAGCUUCAUUUUUCCUCUGGCUUCAAGGUAUGCAACACCUGGGAUAUCCUCUAUGUCCUUCUUGAUGUAUGAUUUGGGGACAUCCUCUAUGUCCUUUUUGAAGUAUGAUUGGGGGAAUGAGGAACUAGCUAAAGUUUUUGAGAAAAUGUUACAUGUAUAUAUCACACACACACACACGUUUUUGAGACAGGGUCUUGCUCUGUCCCUCAGGCUGGAGUGCAAUGGCGCCAUCACAGCUCACUGUAGACUCUUCCUCUUGGGCUCAAGUGAUUCUCACAUUUCAGCCUCCUGAGUACUUAACAGGUAUGUGUUAUCACACCCAGCUAAUUAAAAAAAAUUUUUUUUUGUAGAGACCAAGUCUCAUUACGUUGCCAAGGCAAUAUAUACCCAGGUCUUGAAUUCUUGUUCUCAAGUGGUCUUCCUGCCUUGCACCCCCAAAGUAUUAGGGUAACAUGUGUGAGUCACUGGAACCCCAAGAAAAUGUUUUAAGAGGCCAUUUUGAUGUAAAGGAUGGAUGCGAGGCUCCAGAGCAAGACCUGGAAGGAGGCUGUUGGAGUGACCUAGGGAACUUUGCCUCAUCCUAGUCCUGGCUCUGCUUCAAGGGGGAGGUAAAUUAUAAUUCUUGUUUCAUGAUACCCUCAUCAUUGAAGAAGGCCAAGACAUCCUCAAGGUCCUCAACAUUGGAGCCCAGGAAUGGGAAUAUUGAAGCUGAAGCACCUCUAUUUUUUAUAUAUUAUGGAUCUACCUACUGCUAUGGAAGAUGAUGCUCUAGCUCUCUUACAGCUCCUUCUACCUGCCAUCCAUAUUUCUCCGCCUCACAUCCUCCUAUUAAAGACACAUCAUAAUUUUUUGUUUUAUCAGUAUUCAGCAUUUAUAUUAUUAUGACCAAAUGAGCAUUAUUCAUAAUUGGGCCAUGUAAUAUAUCAUAAUCAUAUUUCCUGUCUUGUACAGCUUUUUGUUUUCCGUGGAGGUUUUUAAUAUAUAUUUUUUAAUUUUUAAUUUUUGUGGGUAUGUAGUAGGUGUAUAUAUUUACAGGGUACAUGAGAUGUUUUGACAUAGGCAUGCAAUGUGUAACAAUCACAUCAUGGAAAAUGGGGUAUCCAACCCCUCGAACAUUUAUCCUUCAUGUUACAAAUAAUCCAAUUACACUCUUUUAGCUAUUUUAAAAUGUACAAUUAAAUUAUUGUUGACUGUCAUCAUGCUGUUCUUUUAAUGGUGUCAUUAUUUUCAUUUGCUUCAUUUUCUAUGAACUUAUGACAAACUCAUCCCCAAGCUUUCUGCCAGAUUUCCUUCAUGUUUGAAAC